UUAUAUACACAAUUAUAAAACUUUUAGCAACGGAUCUCUGGGCUCUCGCAACGAUGAAGAACGCAGCGAAUUGCGAAAAGUAAUGUGAAUUGCAUAUACCGUGAAUCAUCAAAUCUUUGAACGCACCUUGCACCAUUGGGAACUCCCGAUGGUACGUCUGUUUGAGUAUCAAUCAACACCUGCAAACUUUGCUUUUAACCGAGCCAUACUUUGCAUAUCGAUUGGAUAGUUUUAUUACUACCGAUUUAGGAUACAUAGUCUAGCCACGCUAGUCAACAGAGUUUAACACUUCUGAGUGACGAAUGUAGUAGCAUGACUGGGGCUUCUUGAAGUCUUUAACUUUGAUCUCAAAUCAGACGAGGAUACCCGCUGAACUUAA
rnacentral:rRNA from 1 species